GACGAACGCUGGCGGCGUGCUUAACACAUGCAAGUCGAACGCUGAAGACCUGGCUUUUGUUGGGUUGGAUGAGUGGCGAACGGGUGAGUAACACGUGAGUAACCUGCCCUCUUCUUUGGGAUAACGCCCGGAAACGGGUGCUAAUACUGGAUAUUCACUGAUCUUCGCAUGGGGGUUGGUGGAAAGGUUUGUUCUGGUGGGGGAUGGGCUCGCGGCCUAUCAGCUUGUUGGUGGGGUGAUGGCCUACCAAGGCUUUGACGGGUAGCCGGCCUGAGAGGGUGACCGGUCACAUUGGGACUGGGAUACGGCCCAGACUCCUACGGGAGGCAGCAGUGGGGAAUAGUGCACAAUGGGCGAAAGCCUGAUGCAGCGACGCCGCGUGAGGGAUGGAGGCCUUCGGGUUGUAAACCUCUUUCGCGCAUGGUCAAGCCGCAACUGUGGGUUGUGGUGAGGGUAGUGGGUAAAGAAGCGCCGGCUAACUACGUG
rnacentral:rRNA from 1 species